rnacentral:rRNA from 1 species
CCUGUCCCAGUUCGGACUGGAGUCUGCAACCCGACUCCGCGAAGUUGGAUUCGCUAGUAAUCGCGCAUCAGCCAUGGCGCGGUGAAUACGUUCUCGGGCCUUGUACACACCGCCCGUCAAGCCAUGGGAGUCGGGAGUGCCUGAAGUUCGUGACCGUCACAGGAGCGACCUAAGGCAAGACCGAUGACUGGGGCUAAGUCGUAACAAGGUAUC